rnacentral:rRNA from 1 species
AUACGGAGGAUCCGAGCGUUAUCCGGAUUUAUUGGGUUUAAAGGGUGCGCAGGCGGGAGAUUAAGUCGGCGGUGAAAUUUUGCAGCGCCACUGUAAAAGGGCCUUCGAAACUGGUUUCCUUGAUUGCGGUCGAGGUUGGCGGAAUUUGUUGUGGAGCGGUGAAAUGCAUAGAUAUGACGAAGAACACCGAUUGCGUAGGCAGCUGACCAGACCGCAAAUGACGCUCAUGCACGAAAGUGCGGGGAUCGAACAGGAUUAGAUACCCUGGUAGUCCGCACAGUAAACGAUGAAUACUUGUUUUCGGCGAUAUAAUGUCGGAGGCAAAGCGAAAGCGAUAAGUAUUCCACCUGGGGAGUACGCCGGCAACGGUGAAACUCAAAUGAAUUGGCGGGG